UUUCCUAUAGUACUAUACCUAAUGAGACGAUGCUAGGUGUCUUGUCCGUUUUAGGCACUUGCUACUAUCGCCUGCUUGUGUCCAAUGGGUACCCUAUAUAUCCACACUACUGCCGGCUUUGACACAUCUGUCCCUUGUCGUUUUCUUCAAUGUCGAGCCUCGAUGCUGCCACGAUGGUGCCCUCUUCAUAUGCUACCACUCCCGAGAUGUCAUCAACCGAAGGUACCGCGUGUUUGUCUCGUUAUGACUUACUUGCUCGCGAGGCAUCCUGUCGCAUCCUUGAAAUCCUUCGAGACGUUUUACCCUACAUAGAUACAAAUAUUUUAUAUAGUCAUUUAAUAAAAGGAUAGUAUUGAAAGAAAAUGAUAACGUUUUUUUAUUUCAAAAAUUAGACAAAUAAAUUGAAAAAAUUAUUUUCAAGGAUAGACGUCAAGUAGAAUGAAAUAGAGGAAACAUUCCUUUAUAGAUCACUUUACUAAAAAAAUGUUGGUCCAAAAAACCGUGUAAUCAUUAAUUACCCAUUUAAGAAAGUAAUUAGAGCAAAUACUCCUAAUGAAAUAGUAAUUUUAUUUGUGAAUGUUCCAAAACCAUAAGCAUAGAUUUUUUUUAAAAAAAGGUAUCAUGCAAUGUUAGCAAAUUAAAAAUAUUUGACGAAAACUAUGUGACUAUUUGUUUUUAUGGAUAAAAAAAAUGAAAAAUGAGAUUUGAAGAAUUCUUGAGUUGAUGGAAAGGAUGGGCAGAAGGUUCUUUUGAUGUAUUUGUAAGUUAUUUUGUAUUCGGGCACAAGGUUAUUUUAAUGAAUUUUGCAGGUAUGUUUCAAUACAUUUCGGUCCUACAUCAAUAAAAGAAAAAAAUGCAAAUUUCUUGAAGAAAACCAAAGGAGAAUGGUAUGCUAAAUCCAAAGUAUGACUCACACGUAGGUCUGGACCAUAUAUGUGCCUAUAUAUGUUAGUCCAACAAAAAGAUGAAUUUAAAUUACAAUAUCUUUGAAUUGUCUAAAAGUUGGUAAGUAGAGCAUCAAAAAGGCCAUAAAUAAUGCGGUAACAAGAGGUGAAAAAGCUGCAUGAUGAUUUGUUUUUAAGGAAAAAGAAAAUGAAAAGAGGACUAUUAAAUGUCCAAACAAAUCACCUUCAUCAUAUUCAAA
rnacentral:lncRNA from 1 species